UCCCCAGACUGUGGCUUUUCUUUUUCUUGGAACUGAUCGGCCCUGGCCAGGCCCUGGACUGAAAACCCAGAAAAGCACCGUGAGUUCCCACUUGUAGCCCACCAGGGCCAGGGAUGCAGCAUUUUUCAGCACAGGAGGGACUGAUGAGAGACUGAGCAGGGCAAGCUACACCCCACAACAAGGACUUCCUGAACUUGCCAUCUCUUCAGGAGAGUGAGAGGAAAUCUUUUCCCAAACCAGUUGGGCAAGGAGCUGCUUGAAUCUGCUUUCUAGAGGGACCCCUUUGGAAGUUUCCUCUCAAAUUUGCUCUAAACCAGGACCAUCCUCCACCCCCUUCUCUUCAACAUCUUCAUUAAUGACUUGGACACAGGACACAAAUUCUGCUGAUGGCACUAAACUGGGAGAAGCUGUAGACUCCCUCAAAGACAGAGAGGCCCUGCAGAGAGACCUUGACAAAGGAGAGAGGUGGGAAAUCACCAAUCAAAAUUUGUUUUAGCAGAUCUUCACUGGGAGAAUGAUGGCACUAUCUGCCCUGACUAAAGGAGAGAAAGCAAAAAUUUACAGUCAUCAGAAGCUCCAGGAAUUCAACUGAAGUCACAACAUAUCCUUUCUGUGCAAAUGAUACAGGAAAACAAGAACCUCAGAUGAAAUCUGUGACUAAAGAGCUGCUCUACAUAUUGCUCAUCCCUGAGCUUCAAGAACAAGCUACUUUAUUUGAAUUCUCAUAAUGUAUUUUCCUUGAAGAGAAGUACUCUGCCACUCUUAAUG